rnacentral:RNase_P_RNA from 1 species
GCAGCAGGACGGUCUGUCGCUGGGCAGAAAUGCCUUGAGGAAAGUCCGGGCAGCACAGGGCACCAUGCCGGUUAAUGGCCGGUAGGCAGCAAUGUUUAGGACAAUGUAACAGAAAAUAACCGCCAUCGGAGGAAACUGAUCUCCCGCAAGGGUCUUCAAGUCUGCCAGACGAGGGUAAGGGUGAAAAGGCGAGGCAAGAGCUCACCGCACCCGUAGCAAUACGGCGUGGCUGUACAUCCCAUGGGUUGUAAGAUCAUGUAUAUCGACGCUAAGGGCGGCCCGCCCGAUGUCGAGGGGUAGAUUGCUAAAGUGUGCCAGCAAUGGCGCACUCAGAUUAAUGGCAGACACCGCAUUCAGGUGCGGCACAGAACCCGGCUCAUAGGCCUACUGCUUUC